UGGGGAAUAUUGGGCAAUGGGCGAAAGCCUGACCCAGCAACGCCGCGUGAAGGAAGAAGGUUUUCGGAUUGUAAACUUCUGUCCUCAGGGAAGAAAAAAAUGACGGUACCUGGGGAGGAAGCCCCGGCUAACUACGUGCCAGCAGCCGCGGUAAUACGUAGGGUGCGAGCGUUGUCCGGAAUGACUGGGCGUAAAGGGCGCGUAGCCGGUUUUUUAAGUCUGGAGUGAAAGUCCUGCUUUCAAGGUGGGAAUGGCGUUGGAGACGGGAAGACGUGAGUGCGGAAGAGGUAAGUGGAAGUCCCAGUGUAGCGGUGAAAUGCGUAGAGAUUGGGAAGAACACCAGUGGCGAAGGCGACUUACUGGGCCGUAACUGACGUUGAGGCGCGAAAGCGUGGGGAGCGAACA
rnacentral:rRNA from 1 species